rnacentral:rRNA from 1 species
AACAAACGCUGGCGGCGUGCCUACCACAUGCAAGUCGAACGGGGAAAGCUUUCUUGUGCGUGCUAGUGGCGCACGGGUGAGGAACGCGUGGCUAAACUGCCCUAGCGUGGGGGAUAACUUGUCGUAAGAUUAGCUAAUAUAGCAUAAGACCACGAGAGCUGCGGCUUUUGGGGGCAAGGACUGUUCGCUCUAAGAUGAGUCCGCGUAAGAUUAGCUAGUUGGUGAGGUAAGGGCUCACCAAGGCGACGAUCUUUAACUGGUCUGAGAGGAUGAUCAGUCACACUGGAUCUGAGACGCGGUAGAGACUCAUACGGGAGAGAGGAGGAGAGAAUAUUGCACAAUGGAGGAAACUCUGAUGGAGCGACGCCGCGUGAGUGAAGAAGGCCUUCGGGUCGUAAAGCUCUGUCGUAGGAGAAUAACACAAUGAAGGUACCCUGUAAAAAAGGACCGGCUAACUUCGUG